GAACGACUCUCGGCAACAGAUAUCUCGGCUCUUGCAUCGAUGAAGAACGUAGCGAAAUGCGAUACCUGGUGUGAAUUGCAGAAUCCCGUGAACCAUCGAGUCUUUGAACGCAAGUUGCGCCCGAAGCCAUUAGGCCGAGGGCACGCCUGCCUGGGUGUCACAC
rnacentral:rRNA from 1 species